CUUGAUGAUUUGUAUUUUCGUUUGGAUUUUGGGCUUUGUACAGAGUAAAACCUGUUAUAACAAUUCAAGAAAUGGUGUUACUGAGUCAUGGUUUUGUUGUAAUAACCACGAGGAGAAACAUGGAGUAUGUGUAGAAUGCGAAAUUGGAUAUGUUUCAAAGGACGGAUUUCCAUGCGAACAGUGUUUACCUGGAAGAUGGGGGAGAAAAUGCAGAAACAAAUGUAUCUGCCAACAUAA